UACGUAGGUGGCAAGCGUUGUCCGGAUUUACUGGGCGUAAAGGGCGUGCAGGCGGUCUGUUAAGUGCAGGGUGAAAGCUCCCGGCUCAACUGGGAGAGGUCCUUGCAUACUGGCGGACUUGAGUGGGGUAGAGGAAAGUGGAAUUCCCGGUGUAGUGGUGAUAUGCGUAGAUAUCGGGAGGAACACCGGUGGCGAAGGCGGCUUGCUGGGCCUUACCUGACGCUGAGGAGCGAAAGCGUGGGGAGCGAACAGG
rnacentral:rRNA from 1 species